rnacentral:rRNA from 1 species
GACGAACGCUGGCGGCGUGCUUAACACAUGCAAGUCGAGCGGUAAGGCCCUUUCGGGGGUACGACGAGCGGCGAACGGGUGAGUAACACGUGGGUGACCUGCCCUCAGCUCUGGGAUAAGCCUGGGAAACCGGGUCUAAUACCGGAUAUGACUCCAUGACGCAUGUUGUGGGGUGGAAAGCCUUGUGCGGCUGAGGAUGGGCCCGCGGCCUAUCAGCUUGUUGGUGGGGUGAUGGCCUACCAAGGCGACGACGGGUAGCCGGCCUGAGAGGGCGACCGGCCACACUGGGGACUGAGACACGGCCCAGACUCCUACGGGAGGCAGCAGUGGGGAAUCUUGCGCAAUGGGCGAAAGCCUGACGCAGCGACGCCGCGUGAGGGAUGACGGCCUGGUU